UACGUGAGCCCCAAGCAUUAUCCGGAAUCAUUGGGCGUAAAGGGUCCGUAGGCGGUUAUAUUAGUCACUUGUUAAAGCACCAGGCUCAACCUGGGACCAGCAAGCGAAACGGUAUGACUAGAGAGCGAGAGAGGUGAAUGGAACUCAAGGUGUAGGGGUGAAAUCCGUUGAUAUCUUGGGGAACACCAAAUGCGAAGGCAAUUCACUGGCUCGUUUCUGACGCUGAGGGACGAAACCCUGGGUAGCGAAUGGG
rnacentral:rRNA from 1 species